GGAGGGAUUGUCGGGAAGACUUGCAUGCAGGCGCGAUCUCGCGUUCUUUUCGCUGUCGGCCGCGUGGCUGAAAGUCAUGGUUGGUCCCGUCGGUGUUGAGCAUGGCCAACAGCCUCAGGCAUUUGUCAUGAAGCCCUUCUUUGGCAUCUGCAGAUACGGUGAAAAGCAGAGUUCCAGGUUGAAGGUUCACAGUAAUGGAUGGAGCCCUAACAUGAGUUAAAAUGGGUGCAGGCAGGGCCUGAGUGGUCGCCAGAAAUGAGAAAGCAGAGUUGGUCCCAUCACAUACAUUCACCUCCUGCUUUAUUCUGAAGUUAGAAUGUGAGAAUACGUGUUGACAUACAAGCCAGCUAUGAUUAAAGGUGUUGGCCGUGGUCUUGAAAGCAGUCAUGUGAAAACUCAUCACUUAAAGAUGUUAAGUGUAAGGAUCUUCAUGAUGAAAUUUCUGUAAAUGCUCCGGCGGAUCUCUAAUCCCCUGUCUAAAACACUGAGCUACAUGCUUGCUGCUUGCCCUGCAGGGCAGUUUUACAUACACAGUUGGAUGAAAUGGAUAUGACCUGUGUGACGUCGCUUCUUGGCAGCAGGUGUAGUCAGCCUCAGUUUCCAAGGCUGGAAAAGGAUCCUCUCGUAGCCACAUUGUGGGCGCUGCCAUGAACCAGGACCUGACCUGGACCCAAAGUACCAUGUCUUUAAUGCAUGUUAGCUCCCAGCGAUGCCAGAUGGGAUCGGCACAGCCUUGCCUCUGUGGCUAAUUGUUCCUCUAAAGUAAUCGCCAUGCGUUCUUUGGGCUUCAUCUUUAAAGGAAUGAAGUGACUAAGAUUAUUCUGGAAAACCUUUUGGCAGUUAGUGAAAUUAGAAUACAACCAAGAACAUUUUCAGACCUUCGCUAUGGAUGACCUGGGUAUACUCUCACAAAUCGAUGGGACAACAUGGGUUAUAAACUGAAGUUAACAUGACUCUACUCUGUCGGAGGACCUCAGGGGAAACUGAUGAGUUGCAGAGAGUGAUGCUUAACCCCGGUACACAGGAUGCCAGCUUGUGUUUCCUCUUUUUACUUAUCCACUAAAUUGAUUUUCUGAUCUGCUAAUGGGUUGCCACCCACAAACACUGCUUUAGCACUUUUACUUCAAAUCAAUGAAGGAUUGAUUAGAGUUC